AUGCUCGAAUUGGCAGCACAUAUACUAAAAUUAUAAUGAUACAGAGAAGAUUAGCAUGGCCCCUGCACAAGGAUGGCAUGCAAAUUCAUGAAGUGUUCCAUUUUUUU
ensembl:snRNA U6 U6 spliceosomal RNA